rnacentral:tRNA from 1 species
UCCCUAGUGGCUUACCUGGUAAAGAAUCUGCCUGUAAUGCAGGAGACCUGGGUUUGAUCCCUGGAUUGGGAA